GGGCUUUGGCGCCAGAGGGCUGCCCCUCGGCCGGUGACCGAGUUAAGCACCGAGCUGUAAAUCGCUUGAGACCUGUAUUUGGUUGUUUUGUUGGUUUUGCCAAGUAAGGUCACUUGAGGAUUUCUUGGCUCGAGGUCCCAGGUUGCGCAGACUCUGACUGCAUCGAGUUGAGAAUUUUGGUCAGAAUGUUAAAGUGGAAACCUACCCCAGGCUGUCAUGACUUUUGCAUUCUGGUAACCAACUGAUCCUACCCGGACCCAUGAUGCAUAACUCAGCUGGUCCUGUGGCGCACACCCAGAGGCCGACUCAAUGCAUGAAGACUGUUUUCCACACCCCUAUGAUUUCAUCCCCAACCAAGCAGCAGCAUCCAUUCCCUAGCCCCCUGCCCACCAAAUUAUCCAUAAAAACUCUGGCUUCUGAGUUCUCAGCAAAACUGAUUUUAGUAAUAACUCCAGUUCUUCCACUUGGCUGGCCUUAGUUAAUUAAACUUAUUCUUUACUAUAGUACCGUGUUCCCAGUGAAUUGGUUUUGUCUGUGUAGCAGGCAGGACAACCCAUCAGGCAAUCACACAGUUACUCUGCAGUGCUUCUUUUUAUUUUGCUUUUCAAACAAAUUUCAAAUAUUAUUAGAUUGAAAUAAACUAUACAAAUAGCUUUUCCUCACAAAAAUGCAAUAUUUUGUGUAUUAUUCCUAGGUAAACUACAAAACUUUUAUUUUUGGAAGUUUUUUUUUGCAAAAAUAAAUCAAGAUGCUUAUGCAUAUAAAUCAAGAUGAGGCAAUGAAAAAAAACCAAAGAAUAACCAAAGAGAGACAAAUCAGUUGUCAGUGUCUGUGAACUCAUGUUCUGUCUUGCUUGUAAAACAGAGGGUUCAUGUGUGGUCCGCUAAAAAGCUGAUGGCCCAGUUAGGGUAGAGAUACAACAAAGGGGUGCAAGCCCCAGCAACACAUGUGGGGCAACAGUGAGGCAUCCCUCCAUUCAAACUGUAACUGUAACUCCUUCCUUUCUUCCUUCCUCCCUCCCUCCCCCUUCCCCCUCCAUCCCUCCACACUUCCCCCUUCCCUUUCGCCUCCCCUCCCCUCCCCUCCACUCCCCUCCCCUCCUUCCUUUCUCUUUCUUUAUUUUUUUUUUAAGAGAUGGGGUCCCACUAUAUUGACCAGGCUGGUCUGUAACUCCGGGCCUCAAGGGAUCUUCCCAACUCCACCUCUCAAAGUGCUGGAUUACAGCCUGAGCCACUGGACCUGGCUACUGUCCAUUCUUUGAUGAAGACAAAGUUUACCCUGAAAUCCUGUUCAGGAUCUGUUCCUCAUUUGCAGUCUUUAUUUCUCUACACACCUGUUUUCCCCAAAGUCUUAGAACUGCAAGAGGAGCCUGGCUUGGCCGUGCUGGUUAUCCCAUCGUCUUCACGUUAGCGCUUGUCUCGGUGUAGCCCACCGUGUCUCCUCCAGUGUCCCCUGCAACUUCCCCC
rnacentral:lncRNA from 10 species